UAGAGUUUGAUCCUGGCUCAGAACGAACGCUGGCGGCGUGCCUAACACAUGCAAGUCGAACGGUAACAGGGCUAGCUUGCUAGCCGCUGACGAGUGGCGCACGGGUGAGUAACGCGUGGUUACCUGCCCAUCAGUGGGGGACAACUCCGGGAAACCGGAGCUAAUACCGCAUACGACCUUCGGGUGAAAGCGGGGGAUUCUUUUAGAACCUCGCGCUGAUGGAUGGAACCGCGUCCGAUUAGCUAGUUGGUAGGGUAACGGCCUACCAAGGCGAUGAUCGGUAGCUGGUCUGAGAGGAUGAUCAGCCACACUGGGACUGAGACACGGCCCAGACUCCUACGGGAGGCAGCAGCGGGGAAUAUUGCACAAUGGGCGAAAGCCUGAUGCAGCGACGCCGCGUGCGGGAAGAAGGCCUUCGGGUUGUAAACCGCUUUCAGCAGGGAAGAAGGAAUGAGGGCCAAUACCCCUCUGCCUUGACGGUACCUGCAGAAGAAGCUCCGGCUAAUUUCGUGCCAGCAGCCGCGGUAAUACGAAAGGGGCAAGCGUUGUUCGGAUUUACUGGGCGUAAAGAGAUCGUAGGUGGUUUAUCAAGUCGGAUGUGAAAUCCCGGGGCUCAACCCCGGAACUGCAUUCGAUACUGGUAGACUUGAGUUCGGGAGGGGGAUGCGGAAUUCCGCGUGUAGCAGUGAAAUGCGUAGAUAUGCGGAGGAACACCAGAGGCGAAGGCGGCAUCCUGGACCGAUACUGACACUGAGGAUCGAAAGCGUGGGUAGCAAACAGGAUUAGAUACCCUGGUAGUCCACGCCCUAAACGAUGACAACUAGCCGUUGCGGGUAUCGACCCCUACAGUGGCA
rnacentral:rRNA from 1 species